UGGGGAAUAUUGGACAAUGGGCGAAAGCCUGAUCCAGCCAUGCCGCGUGUGUGAAGAAGGCCUUUUGGUUGUAAAGCACUUUAAGCGAGGAGGAGGCUACUUGGAUUAAUACUCUAGGAUAGUGGACGUUACUCGCAGAAUAAGCACCGGCUAACUCUGUGCCAGCAGCCGCGGUAAUACAGAGGGUGCGAGCGUUAAUCGGAUUUACUGGGCGUAAAGCGUGCGUGGGCGGCUUCUUAAGUCGGAUGUGAAAUCCCUGAGCUUAACUUAGGAAUUGCAUUCGAUACUGGGAAGCUAGAGUAUGGGAGAGGAUGGUAGAAUUCCAGGUGUAGCGGUGAAAUGCGUAGAGAUCUGGAGGAAUACCGAUGGCGAAGGCAGCCAUCUGGCCUAAUACUGACGCUGAGGUACGAAAGCAUGGGGAGCAAACAGG
rnacentral:rRNA from 2 species